UACGGAAGGUCCGGGCGUUAUCCGGAUUUAUUGGGUUUAAAGGGAGCGUAGGCCGGUCUUUAAGCGUGCCGUGAAAUUUUGUGGCUCAACCAUGAGAGUGCGGCGCGAACUGGAGACCUUGAGUGCGCGGAAGGCAGGCGGAAUUCGUGGUGUAGCGGUGAAAUGCUUAGAUAUCACGAAGAACCCCGAUUGCGAAGGCAUCUCACGAAUCCGCGAUUGACGCUGAUGCACGAAAGCGUGGGUAUCAAACAGG
rnacentral:rRNA from 1 species